AUAGGUCUUGCUCCGUGAAAUGAAGUAUACCUAUCCAGAUUUUACAUAUAGUUAGUGAGCCUAAUAUUAAGAGGUUUCAUGAAAAGUUUGAAAUGGCUAUUGAUUACUGAAAAUCUGUUUAGAAGAAGGAAACUCGGCCUCCCUUCAGCUGAUGUCAUUUUUGAAAAUUGGGUUAACGCUAAGACUUUGUACGAAUUGCCGGCUGGAGCAGGUCACUGUAACAUAUAUGUAAAGGAAGUGACAGUAUUAUUCUGAGGAAAUGACCUUUCAGACUAUGCCAUGAAGACUUAGGUGGUCUCCAUGACAAUAUAAGAGAAGCUGCUACAGGGCAACACACUGCAGUGAAUUCAGGCUUACUCUUCAUCCAUCGGCUGGAAUCUGCUCAGAAGCAGCAAAUUAGCAUAAAUUCGGAUUUUCUUGACUAGUAAAACGUACUUUUUACAGAAAUACGGAUCACACUUAUAAGUUAAGUAUAUUUUCCAAGAGGUGAGUAAAUUAUUCUACCUAAGCAAGAUGGUUGGAUAAUAAUAAGCUGGCUGUAUCCCCUAGCUGCAACUACUUUCAUUCCUUUUACUGUACCUCCUUUCAUAUCUUUCUUUCAUUUUACUUUUCACCCUCUCCUAACAAUUGAUUCAUAGUGCAACUGCUUUGAGGCUUUCCUCCUGUCUUUCAAACUUUUUCAAUGUCAAUUUCCGUUUCAUCGCUGAAUGGCCUUAGUUGCCCCAGUGUUUGGCAUUAUGCCUAAAACCUGUAACUCUAUCAAUAAACAGGCUUUAUAGCCUUGUAUUAAAGUAGUUUUCCUCUUGAAGUAUUCUUUGAGAAUGAAAGUGUCCUCCUCGUUGGUGCUUUAUUUAAACUGAAAAUUAUACCGUGGUAUCACUGUGUAAGCUUGUCAGAAUGGAUUAUUUCAUUUUUACCAUUUAAACUUUUAUUUCUUGACACUCCCUUGGAAUGAUUCGCCAGAAAUUCUUGAGAAAUAUUCUUGUUUCAUGAAUUGUACACGCAAUAUUUUCAACUACAUUAUGAACGGUUAACUUGAAUAUGAGCCGUUCUUCUAUUUUGUAUUGUUUAAAGAUCGGGUAGCGAUAGUAUCAUUUUUGA